GGGUGGCCGCGGCCGUCAAAACUUUCACUAGGUUGACCUCGGAUCA
rnacentral:rRNA from 1 species